AGCUGGCGGAUCGUAGCUGGAGUCGUGUGUGCCGAUCGCUCCGGAUCCUGGACGUCUGAUCAGGAACGGUGUGUGUGGAGACACGGAGACCUCCUCCUUCAUAAAGCCGCUCAGUUCAUGGAUAUUCCCCUCUGGACAGAGGAGGCUUAGAGAUGGAGGGAAACCCCGGAUGGUGUUUCUCACGUACACACGGGUGAAUCUCUCCUCUGAGUCAGUCACACAUCGCCGCUGGCUGAUGAGUUCAUUCAGCUGUUUGACGUUUUCUUCUGUCCUGAUGUGCACUUGUAACGUUUCUUGUGCUAAAAAAGUCGUAAUUUAGUUUCUAAAGAUUCUUUCCCACC